GGGCGAUUGGCUCAGGGGGAGAGCGCUUCCUUCACACGGAAGAGGUCGAAGGUUCAAAUCCUUCAUCGCCCACCA
rnacentral:tRNA from 1 species